UACGUAGGGGGCUAGCGUUGUCCGGAAUCAUUGGGCGUAAAGAGCUCGUAGGCGGUUUGGUAAGUUGGAUGUGAAAUCUCCAGGCUCAACUUGGAGGGGUCAUUCGAUACUGCCAUGACUAGAGUUCGGUAGGGGAGUGUGGAAUUCCUGGUGGAGCGGUGAAAUGCGCAGAUAUCAGGAGGAACACCCGUAGCGAAGGCGGCACUCUGGGCCGGAACUGACGCUGAGGAGCGAAAGCGUGGGGAGCGAACAGG
rnacentral:rRNA from 1 species